GCUUGACUGGCUCAGUCCAUAGAGCAUGUGACUCUUGAUCUUGGGGUUGUGAGUUCAAGCCCCAUGUUGGGCA
rnacentral:tRNA from 1 species